rnacentral:rRNA from 1 species
UACAGAGGUCUCAAGCGUUGUUCGGAUUCAUUGGGCGUAAAGGGUGCGUAGGCGGCGCGGUAAGUCGGGUGUGAAAUCUUGGGCUUAACUCCGAAACUGCAUUCGAUACUGCCGUGCUUGAGGACUGGAGAGGAGACUGGAAUUUACGGUGUAGCGGUGAAAUGCGUAGAUAUCGUAAGGAAGACCAGUGGCGAAGGCGGGUCUCUGGACAGUUCCUGACGCUGAGGCACGAAGGCCAGGGGGAGCAAACGGG